rnacentral:tRNA from 2 species
GGAGGGGUGGCCGAGUGGACGAAGGCGCCUGAUUCGAAAUCAGGUGUGCCCUCACGGGUACCGUGGGUUCGAAUCCCACCCCCUCCG